rnacentral:rRNA from 1 species
GCACAAGCGGUGGAGCAUGUGGUUUAAUUCGACGCAACGCGAAGAACCUUACCUGGGCUUGACAUCCCGAUCGUACGAUAUGGAAACAUAUUGGUCAGUUCGGCUGGAUCGGUGACAGGUGCUGCAUGGCUGUCGUCAGCUCGUGUCGUGAGAUGUUGGGUUAAGUCCCGCAACGAGCGCAACCCUUGUCCUUAGUUGCCAUCAGUUCGGCUGGGCACUCUAUGGAGACUGCCACCUAAAGUGGAGGAAGGUGGGGAUGACGUCAAGUCAGCAUGGCCCUUACGUCCGGGGCUACACACGUGCUACAAUGGCCGGUACAAAGGGUUGCGAAGCCGUGAGGUGGAGCGAAUCUCAAAAAGCCGGCCUCAGUUCGGAUUGGAGGCUGCAACUCGCCUCCAUGAAGUCGGAAUCGCUAGUAACCGCAGAUCAGCUACGUUGCGGUGAAUACGUUCCCGGGCCUU